AACAGGGGAACUUCAACUAAUACCAUGCACGUCCUUGUGCACAACGUUGAAGUCAUCACGUCCUGUGAA
rnacentral:misc_RNA from 1 species